AUGCUCGCGUCUCCCCCACCGGUGACUGGUUGUGCCGCCAGCCAUGGCCACCACGCCUCCCCCACUAUGGCUGCCCCCACCCCGCCCCCUCACCCCCCCACCAGCGACCAGCGCUACAAACCAACACCCACCGGUGCUGCCAAUGGCGGCGAGGAGUGGUGGAGAGCCGCGGCGGCCGGUGUUGGGGCGUUGCAACCACGGCGACAAGUGAUGGAGAUCCAUCAUUUUCUUUGCAUGGAAGCAGCCCCAUUUUUUGCUGCCAACGCCCUUGCUUUUUGCUGGAACCAGUACAUGGCGGUGCAAGUUGUCAACGGUGGCGAGCCGGAGACAGGGACGUCGGGGAUGCUCCAACCAUGA
rnacentral:rRNA from 1 species